UACAGAGGGUGCGAGCGUUGUCCGGAAUCACUGGGCGUAAAGGGCGCGUAGGCGGCUCAGUAAGGUUGCGGUGAAAGCCCGGGGCUCAACCCCGGGUCGGCCGUGGCAACUGCUGGGCUGGAGCACUGUAGAGGCAGGUGGAAUUCCGGGUGUAGCGGUGGAAUGCGUAGAUAUCAGGAGGAACACCAAUAGCGAAGGCAGCUCGCUGGGACGGUACUGACGCUAAGGCGCGAAAGCGUGGGGAGCGAACAGG
rnacentral:rRNA from 1 species